CCUACGGGUGGCAGCAGUGGGGAAUAUUGCACAAUGGGGGAAACCCUGAUGCAGCGACGCCGCGUGAGUGAGGAAGUCUUUAGGUAUGUUAAGCUCUAUCAGCAGGGAAGAAGAUGACGGUACCUGCCUAGGAAGCCCCGGCUAACUACGUGCCAGCAGCCGCGGUAAUAAGGAGGGGGCAAGCGUUGUCCGGAUUUACUGGGUGUAAAGGGAGCGUAGACGGCUAAUCAAGUCAGAAGUGAAAACCCAGGGCUCAACCUUGGGAGUGCUUUUGAAACUGAGUAGCGAGAGGGCAGGAGAGGUAAGCGGAAUUCCGAGUGUAGCGGUGAAAUGCGUAGAUAUUAGGAGGAACACCAGUGGCGAAGGC
rnacentral:rRNA from 1 species